rnacentral:tRNA from 1 species
GGCGGAUGUAGCCAAGUGGAUAAA